rnacentral:rRNA from 1 species
UGGGGGCAACCCUGAUCCAGCGAUGCCGCGUGAGUGAUGAAGGCCUUAGGGUUGUAAAACUCUUUCGCUAGGGAAGAUAAUGACGGUACCUAGUAAAGAAGAUCCGGCUAACUCCGUGCCAGCAGCCGCGGUAAUAC